AGUCUAUUCGGUGAUGCAGCUAACGCAUUAAACAUUCCGCCUGGGGAGUACGGUCGCAAGAUUAAAACUCAAAGGAAUAGACGGGGACCCGCACAAGUGGUGGAGCAUGUGGUUUAAUUCGAAGAUACGCGAAGAACCUUACCUAGCCUUGACAUAUUUUAGAACACCCUAGAGAUAGAGUGGUGCCUUCGGGAGCUAAUUUACAGGUGCUGCACGGCUGUCGUCAGCUCGUGUCGUGAGAUGUUGGGUUAAGUCCCGCAACGAGCGCAACCCUCGUCACUAGUUACUAACGGUUCGGCCGAGGACUCUAGUGAGACUGCCUUCGUAAGGAGGAGGAAGGCGAGGACGACGUCAAGUCAUCAUGGCCCUUACGGCUAGGGCAACACACGUGCUACAAUGGCCAGGACAAUGAGACGCGAUACCGCGAGGUGGAGCAAAUCCAUAAACCUGGUCUCAGUUCGGAUUGUAGUCUGCAACUCGACUACAUGAAGCUGGAAUCACUAGUAAUCGUAGAUCAGCUAUGCUACGGUGAAUACGUUCCCGGGUCUUGUACUCACCGCCCGUCACACCAUGGGAGUUGAUUUCACCCGAAGCGGGGAAGCUAAACUGGCUACCCUCCACGGUGGAAUCAGCGACUGGGGUGAAGUCGUAACAAGGUAACC
rnacentral:rRNA from 1 species